rnacentral:rRNA from 1 species
AGAUAUGAUCCAGAGUACCACGGGACACGUGAAACCCUGUGGGAAGCAGGAGGGACCACCCUCCAAGGCUAAAUACUACCUAGUGACCGAUAGCGUAUAGUACCGUGAGGGAAAGGUGAAAAGAACCCCGGGAGGGGAGUGAAAUAGAACCUGAAACCCUGCACUUACAAGCUGUGGAAGCACAUUUCUUGUGUGACCGCGUACUUUUUGUAGAACGGGCCAACGAGUUACGU